UGGUUAGUUGAGAAAAAUUGGAAUUUGAGUUGUUGGGCUUUUUAAUUGUUUGGGUCUAGAAUAUUAAAGAACCAAAAAGGAAAAAAAUAUAGUAAGGAGUGAACUUAGAAAAGAUAGGUAUAUCCUUAGCAAAUUUUCUCAAAUUUCUCUCUUGGUGACUAUAAUACCGAGAAGGAAAAGUAGACCAUCAAGUUUGGAUUGUUACUUUGUGCUGAGUUUUCUCAUCUCAUACUUAAAUUGAGAUGUACA
rnacentral:lncRNA from 1 species